UAACUUUCAACAACGGAUCUCUUGGCUCUCACAUCGAUGAAGAACGCAGCGAAAUGCGAUAAGUAAUGUGAAUUGCAGAAUUCAGUGAAUCAUCGAAUCUUUGAACGCACAUUGCGCCCUUUGGUAUUCCGAAGGGCAUGCCUGUUUGAGUGUCUU
rnacentral:rRNA from 1 species